rfam:Ipomoea nil DNA, scaffold: scaffold3056, cultivar: Tokyo-kokei standard.
GGCCGUCUAGCUCUGUCGGUAGAGCGCAAGGCUCUUAAACUUGUGCUCCUGGGCUUAAGCCCCAGGGUGGGCA